rnacentral:rRNA from 1 species
UGCAGUCGAACGGUAACAUAAGAGCUUGCUCUUGAUGACGAGUGGCGCACGGGUGCGUAACGCGUAUGCAACCUACCUGUAACUGGAGGAUAGCCCGGAGAAAUUCGGAUUAAUACUCCAUAGUACUAUAAUAUAGCAUUAUAUAGUAGUUAAAGAUUUAUUGGUUACAGAUGGGCAUGCGUGACAUUAGUUAGUUGGUGAGGUAACGGCUCACCAAGACGAUGAUGUCUAGGGGUUCUGAGAGGAUGAUCCCCCACACUGGUACUGAGACACGGACCAGACUCCUACGGGAGGCAGCAGUAGGGAAUAUUGGUCAAUGGGCGAGAGCCUGAACCAGCCAUGCCGCGUGCAGGAAGACGGCCUUCUGGGUUGUAAACUGCUUUUAUAUAGGAACAAAAAGUCCCAUGCGUGGGAUCCUGAGUGUACUAUAUGAAUAAGCACCGGCUAACUCCGUGCCAGCAGCCGCGGUAAUACGGAGGGUGCAAGCGUUGUCCGGAUUUAUUGGGUUUAAAGGGUGCGUAGGUGGCGUGUUAAGUCAGUGGUGAAAGCCUGCAGCUCAACUGUAGAGGUGCCAUUGAUACUGACAUGCUUGAGUAUGGACGAGGUAGGCGGAAUUUGUGGUGUAGCGGUGAAAUGCAUAGAUACCACAAAGAACACCGAUAGCGAAGGCAGCUUACUGGACCAUAACUGACACUGAGGCACGAAAGUGUGGGUAGCGAACAGGAUUAGAUACCCUGGUAGUCCACACCGUAAACGAUGCUCACUCG